CCGAGACCGGGGGCCGGAGCUGCGGCGCGGGCGGGGCUCCAGAUCGGACCCCUGCGGCCUGCGCUCUCCUCGGCGCUUGCUCCUCGGCCGCUUCGCCGUCUGAAGCAGAGGCGAAAACCGUGCACGAACACAAGCAUGACAUCAUUUGGAUUACUUCACUUCGAAAACAGAGAGCUUUGAGAAAUGCAAAGCCCCAUAAGUGUUCUGCCUAAAAUUGGGAUUGGCACAGGUGACAGAUGGAGUUUUCAUUUUGUUAUAGGAUAAUUUUUUGUCCAUUAUUU
rnacentral:lncRNA from 1 species